CCUACGGGAGGCAGCAGUGGGGAAUAUUGCACAAUGGGGGAAACCCUGAUGCAGCGACGCCGCGUGCGUGAAGAAGGAUUUCGGUAUGUAAAGCUCUUUUAGCAGGGAAGAAAAAGACCUUACCUGAGUAAGUAGGCCCGGCUAACUACGUGCCAGCAGCCGCGGUAAUACGUAGGGGGCCAGCGUUAUCCGGAUUUACUGGGUGUAAAGGGGGCGUAGACGGGAGUGCAAGUCGGGAGUGAAAGUCCGAGGCUCAACCUCAGGACUGCGAUGAAAACUGUACGUCUGGAGUGCAGGAGAGGUAGGUGGAAUUCCUAGUGUAGCGGUGAAAUGCGUAGAUAUUAGGAGGAACACCAGUGGCGAAGGCGGCUUACUGGACUGUAACUGACGUUGAGGCACGAAAGCGUGGGGAGCAAACAGGAUUAGAUACCCGUGUAGUC
rnacentral:rRNA from 1 species